UGGAACCUUGAGAAUGUGUCUAUAGUAUGAUGCAAAUAUUUCAAAUUUCCAAAUUCUGCAAAGUGAAAGAUGUCCAUCUGCCAGAUCUCAUUCCUCUGAAUGCCUUUAGGAUUACAGCCUGCUGGUAGUGGAGUUUGUUUAUAAAAUGAACAAAUAGGACAGCGUCUCAUUAUCUCCUUGGAUUGUUGCCAAGUAAUGGAGAAGUCCUUUUUUAAACCUUUGCUAUUUACAUGAUGUUUCUUAUGAAAUUCUGAGGCUUUUAAAACAAUUCCAAUUAAUAUAUGAUCAGUCUCAUCAUUGCCUUGUGCUAGUGGGCCUGGCAGACCCAUAUGGGAUCUGAUAUGUCUAAUGAAUAUAGGAUUACUUCUGUUUCUGAUUGUUUCCUGUAAUUGUAUAAACAAUGAGGUUAAUUCUGUAUCAUCAGGAAUGAAUUCUGAAGUCUAAAUGUGUAACAUGACUCUCUCUGCAUAUUGGAAAUCAGUAACUAUAUUAAGAGGUUCUGUAAAAUCCAUGAGCACCAUGAGAAUUGCAUAUAAUUCUGCCUUCUGUACAGAUGUAUAUGGACUUUGAACUACUUUACUUACCUCACCUGCUUCAUAACCUGCCUUACCUGAUUUUUUGGCACCAGUGUAGAAGAUAAACCGAAAGUCUGUACCCAACUUCUUAGUAGCUGAACAUCUCUGAGCUCCCAGAAGCAAAAAUGUUGCGAACCACUGACCUUCACACUCCUGGUGGUCCUCGGGAUAUCCCUAAGAUCAAUAUACAAAAAUUUACUUCUGUGUAUUUAGUAAUGCUUUAAUAAUAAAAAAAUGAAGACCAGACUAAUAUCAUUUAUUAUAAACUAAGAAUAAACUUAACAAAAA
rnacentral:lncRNA from 1 species